CCCUUUUUAAAAGCACUCAAUGGGCCUGUGGCUAAUGACCUAUUGAGCCGUCAAGAAAGGGGAGAAUGAAAACACCGCUUUUGGGUGAAGUGGCAGCAUGUUGUGUUGUUUUUGCUUCAAUCAGUGGUGUGACAAGG